rnacentral:rRNA from 1 species
GACGAACGCUGGCGGCGUGCUUAACACAUGCAAGUCGAACGGAAAGGCCCUGCUUUUGUGGGGUGCUCGAGUGGCGAAAGGGUGAGUAACACGUGAGUAACCUGCCCUUGACUUUGGGAUAACUUCAGGAAACUGGGGCUAAUACCGGAUAGGAGCUCCUGCUGCAUGGUGGGGGUUGGAAAGUUUCGGCGGUUGGGGAUGGACUCGCGGCUUAUCAGCUUGUUGGUGGGGUAGUGGCUUACCAAGGCUUUGACGGGUAGCCGGCCUGAGAGGGUGACCGGCCACAUUGGGACUGAGAUACGGCCCAGACUCCUACGGGAGGCAGCAGUGGGGAUUAUUGCACAAUGGGCGGAAGCCUGAUGCAGCAACGCCGCGUGCGGGAUGACGGCCUUCGGGUUGUAAACCGCUUUCGCCUGUGACGAAGCGUGAGUGACGGUAAUGGGUAAAGAAGCACCGGCUAACUACGUG